GGUGAUUUUUGUUCGGAUACAUCUGGUGCAGUCUGCUCCACUGAACCACGAGGCAGCCCUGUAAUGUGAAUGGUGAGACAGCUCUGUAAUGUGAAUGGUGUAGUGGUGAGACAGCUCUGUAAUGUGAAUGGAGAGUGAGACAGCUCUGUAAUGUGAAUGGUGAGACAGCUCUGUAAUGUGAAUGGUGUAGUGGUGAGACAGCUCUGUAAUGUGAAUGGUGAGACAGCUCUGUAAUGUGAAUGGUGAGACAGCUCUGUAAUGUGAAUGGUGUAGUGGUGAGACAGCUCUGUAAUGUGAAUGGUGAGUGAGACAGCUCUGUAAUGUGAAUGGUGUAGUGGUGAGUGAGACAGCUCUGUAAUGUGAAUGGUGAGACAGCUCUGUAAUGUGAAUGGUGAGACAGCUCUGUAAUGUGAAUGGUGUAGUGGAGAGAGAGACAGCUCUGUAAUGUGAAUGGUGUAGUGGGGAGAGAGACAGCUCUGUAAUGUGAAUGGUGAGACAGCUCUGUAAUGUGAAUGGUGAGACAGCUCUGUAAUGUGAAUGGUGAGACAGCUCUGUAAUGUGAAUGGUGUAGUGGUGAGACAGCUCUGUAAUGUGAAUGGUGUAGUGGAGAGUGAGACAGCUCUGUAAUGUGAAUGGUGAGAGAGACAGCUCUGUAAUGUGAAUGGUGUAGUGGUGAGUGAGACAGCUCUGUAAUGUGAAUGGUGUAGUGGAGAGAGAGACAGCUCUGUAAUGUGAAUGGUUGGAGAGUGAGACAGCUCUGUAAUGUGAAUGGUGUAGUGGUGAGACAGCUCUGUAAUGUGAAUGGU
ensembl:lncRNA